AGAGUUUGAUCAUGGCUCAGAUUGAACGCUGGCGGUAUGCUUAACACAUGCAAGUCGAACGGAAACGAAACUAGCUUGCUAGUAGGCGUCGAGUGGCGGACGGGUGAGUAACGCGUAGGAAUCUGCCUGAUAGUGGGGGAUAGCCCGAAGAAAUUCGGAUUAAUACCGCAUAAUCUAUUCGUAGUAAAGUGAGGGACUUUCGAGCCUCACGCUAUCAGAUGAGCCUGCGUAAGAUUAGCUUGUUGGUAGGGUAAAAGCCUACCAAGGCAACGAUCUUUAGCUGGUCUGAGAGGAUGAUCAGCCACAUCGGGACUGAGACACGGCCCGAACUCCUACGGGAGGCAGCAGUGGGGAAUAUUGGACAAUGGGGGCAACCCUGAUCCAGCAAUACCGCGUGUGUGAAGAAGGCCUGAGGGUUGUAAAGCACUUUCAAUUGUGAAGAAAAGUUAACGGUUAAUAACCGUUGACCUUGACGGUUAACUUUAGAAGAAGC
rnacentral:rRNA from 1 species